CCCUGCACGCUGCCAGAUUAUUUUGCUCUAAGUGCUACAUGGUCAGCUCUGUGAUUCUACUGUCUCCAGUAAUCUAACCUUCUCCGCUUCCCCAGUGAAUGGACAACUCCAGGAUCGGCUCCUCAGCCAAACACAUGCCAGCUUCCAGCACUCCUUGGACUCCUUGAGCGUACAACCAGCACAGAUGUGAGUUUCCUCCUCCUCCUCCAGCAGAGCCACCAGCCUGAGGGAUGCUCACCUCCUUUACCUGCCUGUUGCUCAUCGUGUUCAGUAAAUUCACCUUUAAAUCCACUCCCUGUUUGGUGUCCGCAUUUAGAUACUUUGGAUUUGAUGAUUCCCUUUGAUGAUUUUGAGCCUAAAGCCGGGCUGAUCCCAGGUCAUUGAGCAGCCCACAGAGGUGUCAGCCUGCCUCAAUCCUGCCUUUGUUUGGCUCCCUGAUAACAAUCCAACUGUCGCCUCAUUAUGAGCCGAAACAGGGGUCGAGGGGGUUUUUCUGGAGCCAAUCCCAGCUGUCUCUGGGCGAGGGUAGGGUACAACCUGGACAGGUCACCAGCUCAUCGUAGGACCCUCACUGAUGGCAAAGGCUGCCAUGCAAGAUCACCGUUUCCCUUGUUUCUACAUUUGCACACUCUACUCUGACAUGAAUAAAUAAAUGAAGAACAUGCUGCUCCAGUGUCAAACACAGGAAAGUAUCCCCCUAUUAAUCCUCUUUGUUCCUCAGCUCUAUUGCAUUUGAACUUAUAGCUCCAUCCUGUCAUUUAUUCUCCAUGUGUGUCUGCUUAUUCCAGCCUGAAGAAACACUUUGAAGUGCUUCAGCUCAAAAUGAAACAUGAAGACAAAGAGAUAAUGUAAAAUGGGAAAUGGAAAAAAAAAAAAAGCUAAAUGAAAGCAAGAUAAGGUGAGAGCUGGACAGUUUUCAUAGUGGAGGCCAUUAUCUCUAUUGAUAUUCAUUAUAAUAACAUUUUAUUCACUAAGUUAAAGGUACCCUGUGGAGGAUUUGAUUGCUAGUAGUGCUAACAGGCGUUGUUUUAUGAGUGGGUCUCUGUUUUAUUUGUAAUGCAUCACAUCAUCUCACCAACAUCAGUGCCCCAUGUCUGGCCUGCUGUUAAAGUCUUUCAUCCAAUGAAGCUCCUGCAUUUAUUUCACAUAUGUCUCUGCUGAUUGAACUACUGUAAGUAGAGUAGAUCAGAUUUAAAAGUCAGUCUGUAAAUUGUGAUGGCCAUUUUCUUCAAACAGUUUGGGCAAUAACUUUGUCCCCCAAAUAAAUGUGGGUUUAUCUUUAA